ACGAUGGUGAUACCAAUGGCUCCAAGUUUGACUCGGUGAGAAACGAAGCAAGGUUCAUGAAUUUAGAAGAGGCUUGCGAGACAGGGAGUGAUAUCGAUGGCCAUGCACAACAAGGUACAAGGAUAUGAAGAUACGGCACCGUUUCAACAACCUGCUGUCCACAAAUCCCUUCUGCUCUCCAGUCUCCACGAUGACCUUUACUUAAUAACCUCU
rnacentral:lncRNA from 1 species